UACAGAGGGGGCAAGCGUUGUUCGGAAUUACUGGGCGUAAAGGGCGCGUAGGCGGCCUUCUAAGUCAGACGUGAAAUCCCCGGGCUCAACCCGGGAACUGCGUCUGAUACUGCCGGGCUUGAGUCCGGGAGGGGAGAGUGGAAUUCCCAGUGUAGCGGUGAAAUGCGUAGAUAUUGGGAGGAACACCGGUGGCGAAGGCGGCUCUCUGGACCGGUUCUGACGCUGAGGCGCGAAAGCGUGGGUAGCAAACAGG
rnacentral:rRNA from 1 species